rnacentral:rRNA from 1 species
GAGCGGUAACACAAGGGAGCUUGCUCCUGAGGUGACGAGCGGCGGACGGGUGAGUAAUGCCUAGGGAUCUGCCCAGUCGAGGGGGAUAACAGUUGGAAACGACUGCUAAUACCGCAUACGCCCUACGGGGGAAAGGAGGGGACCUUCGGGCCUUCCGCGAUUGGAUGAACCUAGGUGGGAUUAGCUAGUUGGUGAGGUAAUGGCUCACCAAGGCGACGAUCCCUAGCUGUUCUGAGAGGAUGAUCAGCCACACUGGGACUGAGACACGGCCCAGACUCCUACGGGAGGCAGCAGUGGGGAAUAUUGCACAAUGGGGGAAACCCUGAUGCAGCCAUGCCGCGUGUGUGAAGAAGGCCUUCGGGUUGUAAAGCACUUUCAGUAGGGAGGAAAGGUGAUGUGUUAAUAGCACAUUGCUGUGACGUUACCUACAGAAGAAGGACCGGCUAACUCCGUGCCAGCAGCCGCGGUAAUACGGAGGGUCCGAGCGUUAAUCGGAAUUACUGGGCGUAAAGCGUGCGCAGGCGGUUUGUUAAGCCAGAUGUGAAAUCCCCGGGCUCAACCUGGGAAUUGCA